rnacentral:lncRNA from 1 species
GGGACAGACUCCAGACGCGCCACUUUAAGAGCUGUAACACUCACCGCGAGGGUCCGCGGCUUCAUUCUUGAAGUCAGUGAGACCAAGAACCCACCCAUUCCGGACACACCAUCAUCAUAAUCUAUGUCACAGUGAUUGAUUUACUGCAUAUGAGCAGAAUGAACCUGGACCUGGCCAGUAUCAUUAAGCUGUGUUUCCCCUGAAGUUAUGUGAAAAGCAUUUGUGGAUUUAACAGAGUUAAGGAGUUUUGGAGAGUCAAUGCAUGAUGAUCUCUGAAGAUUCUACUGAAAUCUAAUCAAUAUGUCCUCACUGCCAUCAAUUCAAAAGAACUUGCUAAGAAGGCUCUAGAGGCUUGUACUCUCAGAUAGUGAAAGUGAGAUGAUGUGUAGUGAAAGUCAUAUAUAGGUUGUAAAUUGCAAUAUGGAAUUCCCAAAUGCUGAAUUCAUUUUAUCUCUUCGGAAAUAAAAACCUGUUAAAGACUCAUU